rnacentral:rRNA from 1 species
GACGAACGCUGGCGGCGUGCUUAACACAUGCAAGUCGAACGGAAAGGCCCUGCUUUUGUGGGGUGCUCGAGUGGCGAACGGGUGAGUAACACGUGAGUAACCUGCCCUUGACUUUGGGAUAACUUCAGGAAACUGGGGCUAAUACCGGAUAGGAGCUCCUGCUGCAUGGUGGGGGUUGGAAAGUUUCGGCGGUUGGGGAUGGACUCGCGGCUUAUCAGCUUGUUGGUGGGGUAGUGGCUUACCAAGGCUUUGACGGGUAGCCGGCCUGAGAGGGUGACCGGCCACAUUGGGACUGAGAUACGGCCCAGACUCCUACGGGAGGCAACAGUGGGGAAUAUUGCACAAUGGGCGGAAGCCGGAUGCAGCAACGCCGCGUGCGGGAUGACGGCCUUCGGGUUGUAAACCGCUUUCGCCUGUGACGAAGCGUGAGUGACGGUAAUGGGUAAAGAAGCACCGGCUAACUACGU